UAACACUCAUCUCGUUGUUGUUUGUUGUAGGCAUUUGUGGAGAUUCAUGUUUUCACAACAAGAUUUUUUGAAACAAUAUUUCAACUUUAGAAGUUUGGCCAAAAUCUCUAUGAAAUGCAAUGGUAGGAAAGGGGAAGACCUUUAAUAACACUAGAGUGAAGCAUAGAGUGAAGCGGUCGAUUAAGGUGCCCGCGAUUAGUAACAAGCUAGCAGAUAUGAUGAUUAUUCAUGGAGGAAAUAUGGCCAAAAGCCAAUGAAGGGUUCUCCACACCCAAG